CGGGGCUGUAGGAGGGAAGGAGAUGACGUCAAGUCAUCAUGGCCCUUACGGCCUGGGCUACACACGUGCUACAAUGGCGGGUACAGAGGGCUGCAAGCUCGCGAUAGUGAGCUAAUCUCGCAAAGCGCGUCGUAGUCCGGAUCGCAGUCUGCGAACUCGACUCCGUGAAGUCGGAAUCGCUAGUAAUCGCGAAUCAGAAUGUUGCGGUGAAUACGUUCCCGGGCCUUGUACACACCGCCCGUCACACCAUGGGAGUGGGUUGCACCAGAAGUAGAUAGUUUAACCUUCGGGAG
rnacentral:rRNA from 1 species